rnacentral:lncRNA from 1 species
AGGGGGUUGGGUAGGUUAGUACCCCGUUAGAGGGUUGGGUAGGUUAGUACCCCGUUAGAUGGUUGGGUAGGUUAGUACCCCGUUAGAGGGUUGGGUAGGUUAGUACCCCGUUAGAGGGUUGGGUAGGUUAGUACCCCGUUAGAGGGUUGGGUAGGUUAGUACCCUGUCCUCAGGACCUUUACCAUAAUCUAUCAGUCUCUGUGUGUGUGUGUGUGUGUGUGUGUGUGUGUGUGUGUGUGUGUGUGUGUGUGUGUGUGUGUGUGUGUGUGUGUCAGGAUGACAUCAUCGAUGAUGCGGUGGGUUUCGUGGCGGCAGCGGAGAUGCUGAGGGAGAGGGGGGCGGGGACGAUCAUCGCCGUGGCAACGCACGCC